rnacentral:rRNA from 1 species
GAUGAACGCUGGCGGCGUGCCUAAUACAUGCAAGUCGAGCGAACGGACGAGAAGCUUGCUUCUCUAAUGUUAGCGGCGGACGGGUGAGUAACACGUGGAUAACCUACCUAUAAGACUGGGAUAACUUCGGGAAACCGUAGCUAAUACCGGAUAAUAUUUUGAACCGCAUGGUUCAAAAGUGAAAGACGGUCUUGCUGUCACUUAUCGAUGGAUCCGCGCUGCAUUAGCUAGUUGGUAAGGUAACGGCUUACCAAGGCAACGAUGCAUAGCCGACCUGAGAGGGUGAUCGGCCACACUGGAACUGAGACACGGUCCAGACUCCUACGGGAGGCAGCAGUAGGGAAUCUUCCGCAAUGGGCGAAAGCCUGACGGAGCAACGCCGCGUGAGUGAUGAAGGUCUUCGGAUCGUAAAACUCUGUUAUUAGGGAAGAACAUAUGUGUAAGUAACUGUGCACAUCUUGACGGUACCUAAUCAGAAAGCCACGGCUAACUACGUG